rnacentral:rRNA from 1 species
GACGAACGCUGGCGGCGUGCUUAACACAUGCAAGUCGAACGGAAAGGCCCUGCUUUUGUGGGGUGCUCGAGUGGCGAACGGGUGAGUAACCCGUGAGUAACCUGCCCUUGACUUUGGGAUAACUUCAGAAGACUGGGGCUAAUACCGGAUAGGAGCUCCUGCUGCAUGGUGGGGGUUGGAAAGUUUCGGCGGUUGUGGAUGGACUCGCGGCUUAUCAGCUUGUUGGUGGGGUAGUGGCUUACCAAGGCUUUGACGGGUAGUCGGCCUGGGAGGGUGACCGGCCACAUUGGGACUGAGAUACGGACCAGACUCCUACGGGAGGCAGCAGUGGGGAAUAUUGCACAAUGGGCGGAAGCCUGAUGCAGCAACGCCGCGUGCGGGAUGACGGCCUUCGGGUUGUAAACCGCUUUCGCCUGUGACGAAGCGUGAGUGACGGUAAUGGGUAAAGAAGCACCGGCUAACUACGUG